rnacentral:rRNA from 1 species
CCUACGGGAGGCAGCAGUAGGGAAUAUUGCUCAAUGGGGGAAACCCUGAAGCAGCAACGCCGCGUGGAGGAUGAAGGUCUUCGGAUUGUAAACUCCUUUUUUUAGAGAAGAUAAUUACGGUAUCUAACGAAUAAGCACCGGCUAACUCCGUUCCAGCAGCCGCGGUAAUACGUAGGGUGCAAGCGUUACACGGAAUCUCUGGGCGUAAAGAGCGAGUAGGCGGGAUAGCAAGUCAGAGGUGAAAUCCUAUGGCUUAACCAUAGAACUGCAUUUGAAACUGUUAUUCUAGAGUAUGGGAGAGGUAGGUGGAAUUCUUGGUGUAGGGGUAAAAUGCGUAGAGAUAAAGAGGAAUACUAAUUGCGAAGGCGACCUGCUAGAACAUUACUGACGCUGAUGCGCGAAAGCGUGGGGAGCAAACAGGAUUAGAUACCCCAGUAGUC